UCACACUACCAACAUCAACCUCAUCCCACUUUCUCCUCGAACUCUUACCAUCAUGCCCACCCUUCUCCCUACCACCACCACCACCCUCACCCUUACCAUCCUCUUUACUCACCACACUCUCAUGAAACUCACCGUCACCACCCCCGCGCUUCCUCGCGGCCUUAUCGUCCAAUUCCCCAUCCUCAUACCAACUGCUCAACUUCUC
rnacentral:misc_RNA from 1 species